rnacentral:rRNA from 1 species
GACGAACGCUGGCGGCGUGCCUAAUACAUGCAAGUCGAGCGAAGCGGCGGAUGGGUGAGUACCGCGUGGGUAACCUGCCCUUCAGUUUGGGAUAGCAGUUGGAAACAGAUGCUAAUACAGGAUACUAAGGGAUGGACCUGCGAUGCAUUAGCUAGUUGGGAAGGUAACGGCUUACCACGGCGAGGAUGCAUAGCCGAGUUGAGAGACUGACCAGCCACACUGGAACUGAGACACGGUCCAGACUCCUACGGGAGGCAGCAGUGGGGAAUAUUGCACAAUGGGCGCAAGCCUGAUGCAGCCAUGCCGCGUGUAUGAAGAAGGCCUUCGGGUUGUAAAGUACUUUCAGCGAGGAGGCGUUACUCGCAGAAGAAGCACCGGCUAACUCCGUGCCAGCAGCCGCGGUAAUAC